AUCACGGGUGACAAUGCAGGUCAGCCAGAAUUGAACCAGAACUAAUCACAGAGGCAUGUCGCUGUGACGUCAUAGGUUGUGAGUGACAGCGCUAAGUGCAGACUGCCGUGCUGAUUAUCAUCCGAUACCCUAGAUGGGUUGUCCGGUUAUAGGCUUGAUACGGUUGACAAUUAAGGACCACACCAUUGUUGGAGUAGUUUGAGGUUUGAAAGACGGAGCAUGACAGGCCCUGGGUUUGGUUUGAGCGGGGCGGGGAGGGACAGGCAAGAAAUGUUUAUCUCAUCAGUGUCUGAGGUCACUACAGAUGCAAAAACAUGGUGUGGUGAAGGGUGGAGUGACAGGCAGAGUGUGUAUUUCAUUUUUGAAAGAUACCUUCAUGUUCUCAUCUUUUUCUUUGAAAUAUACCAGGAAAAAACACAAAAAUACAUCUUUCUUCAACAGGUAAGUCCCACUGAAACUACUCUCUGAUUUUACUGCUUCAAAAAGAGUAAAAGGAUCAAAAAGGAUCUUUAGCCAUCAGAAUUGUUGUCUGAAGGCCAAGCGGAUUUACUUUACCAAGUGCAUCAUCAUGGCCUUGCCAUAUUGGUCCAUUUGAUUGACCUUUAUUAUAAUUCUGUAUUUAUUUUAUUUGAUUUUUGGUUGUUACAGAUGGGACAGACAUGACUGGGGGAUAGGACAGGGAGAAAGAAUGAAAGAAAGAGAGGGAGAGAAAGAAAAAUAGAGGGGAGAAGAGACGGUGAGAAAGGGGGGAAGAAAGAAAAAGAAAGACAAAAAAAACACCUGGAUCACCUGUAUGGAGAUAAGAAAAAGAAAAGAAAAGAGCAACAUAAUAAAUACAGCACCAUCACAAUAAACUAGCUAACGGUAGGUAACAGUAGAUACUAAAUAUUACAUGUUAUUGUGCAGUACGCAAGAUAGACAGCGCAAAAUGUGCUUUGAGGUAGCAGCCAAGAAAGGUGCAGUUUGUGUCUGUGAACACCCGUGUGUACACUUGUGUGCACACGGGUGUGGAUCAGCAUGCUUGUAUUCAAAAGGUUUCUCCAUGCAACGAUCUGCUAGGGAUUGUAGUGAGCCAUAGCCCCGUCCCCCAGGGCAUGAAGCAGGUAUGGAGGAGAUCCAGGCCCCAGACAUUCAAAGGCCCCAGAGCACGAGGACCCAAGGUGGACCACCACAGGGGCAACCGUGCCACCCUCCUGGGAAGAGCUGAGGAGAGCCCCAAACGAGAGGUCACCCAGCAGCCAUG
ensembl:lncRNA